UCCAAUUUGUCUACUUCUUGUUGUACGUGAUCGACAACGUCGUUAUCUCGAGCAAGCAAAAACCAAUUUGAAUACCGCUUCAAUCUUCAGUGAACACGUCACUUAGUCGUUUCCAUUGAAUUAAAACCCAUUAAAAAGAUUGGGUUCAUAGGCAUUGAAUUUCGUGGUCACGGAAUGAUCGAACUUGGAGAAGAUAAAAGAAACAAAAGAGAGAUUUAAGACUUAAGAGAACAUAAAAGCCAAAACCUUCUAACCUGACAGGACAUAUUGGACACCAUUUAAGUUGAUAGAGAUGGCAAGGCAUGUAGCGUGAUAAGACAGCAACAGCAACUCACAACCUAACUGGAACAGGCGAAACAGCAUUUAUGAGUUUCUGCAACAAACAUAGACCCACCACCUCAAGUGAGGACUCCAAUGACACAACCCAAGCCCAAAUAGCUCUGCAGGCGACUCUCUAUUGUUGAAGUAACAUCCCUUUUCAUAUAUGUAGAUCUAGUAAUAUGCACCAUGAGCUUUCACGCAACGUGUGAGGAUCUAAGCGCUAAAUUAGCUGUAUAAGUCCAUUCCCAGCUUGGCAAUUGGAUUUUAUUGUCUACUUGAGAAUGGUUUACUGUAGAAAUUUUGUGCAGGGAAAACAGUUCAGAUCACUUUGUAGUAGGGAUGGUUGUGGGGUUCUUUUUUUCCCUCUUUUAAGCCAUAGAUACAGAAAAGGGAAUGUCAGUAAUUUGAUCGACUAAAGAAGAAAUGCAUUGGCGCAAUAUAUCCCAGAGGCCACGGCUCCCAAGGAAGAGUAAAAUUCUUAUAAAUCGCCAAUAAAAAUUUACAUUCACGGAGAAAGAUUGAAUCAGCCUCAAACUAGAACUGUAAGAGCAUCAUUAUAACCAUUGAAGAGGCAAUGAGAAGAUAAACUGCAACAUAUUCAAUGUAAAGACCUGCAAAAGAGACAAUGACUACUCAGAGAGAGGCAAAGACCGUAUGUUUGAGGUGUAACUUUAUUCAAAGAUUAUCUUGUGUAAACCCUAUGUUUGACCAACACAUUUUAACAUCCAACUUGACUCAGCAACUCAACAUCAAUUAAACAUUUACAGUCCGCAUGGUCAGACCGACAUCCACAAAUUCCUCUCAUCUCAAAGUGAUUACAACAAUUUGAGGAGUUAAAAGGCCUAUUUCUUACCACUUUGAGCAUUUGUUGCAGCAGGUAGUGCAGGAAUUCUGACAGCUGCAUGCCAAAAGCCCAGGUGAAAUAAAUAAAAGAGGACAGAGUGGGAAAACAGCAUAUGAUGGUAGAAGUGACAGAGAGGGCCAUGGAGCUGGAAUAUUAUCAUUUAGAUCGCAAAUGAAACUGAUCCCAGAGAACUUGUCAAAU